rnacentral:rRNA from 1 species
ACGAACGCUGGCGGCGUGCUUAACACAUGCAAGUCGCACGGAAAGGCCCUGCUUUUGUGGGGUGCUCGAGUGGCGAACGGGUGAGUAACACGUGAGUAACCUGCCCUUGACUUUGGGAUAACUUCAGGAAACUGGGGCUAAUACCGGAUAGGAGCUCCUGCUGCAUGGUGGGGGUUGGAAAGUUUCGGCGGUUGGGGAUGUACUCGCGGCUUAUCAGCUUGUUGGUGGGGUAGUGGCUUACCAAGGCUUUGACGGGUAGCCGGCCUGAGAGGGUGACCGGCCACAUUGGGACUGAGAUACGGCCCAGACUCCUACGGGAGGCAGCAGUGGGGAAUAUUGCACAAUGGGCGGAAGCCUGAUGCAGCAACGCCGCGUGCGGGAUGACGGCCUUCGGGUUGUAAACCGCUUUCGCCUGUGACGAAGCGUGAGUGACGGUAAUGGGUAAAGAAGCACCGGCUAACUACGUG